CCUACGGGAGGCAGCAGUGAGGAAUAUUGGUCAAUGUACGCAAGUCUGAACCAGCCAUGCCGCGUGCAGGAAGACGGCUCUAUGAGUUGUAAACUGCUUUUGUACGAGGGUAAACGCAGAUACGUGUAUCUGUCUGCAAGUCUCGUACGAAUCCGGAUCGGCUAACCCCGUGCCAGCAGCCGCGGUAAUACGGAGGAUUCAAGCGUUAUCUGGAUUUUUUGGGUUUAAAGGGUGCGUAGGCGGUCGGAUAAGUUAGAGGUGAAAUCCCGAGGCUCAACUUCGGAAUUGCCUUUGAUACGGUUCGUCUAGAGAGUAGAUGAGGUAGGCGGAAUGUAUGGGGUAGCGGUGAAAUGCUUAGAGAUCAUACAGAACACCAGUUGCGAAGGCAGCUUACCAAGCUACUUCUGACGUUGAGGCACGAAAGCGUGGGGAGCAAACAGGAUUAGAUACCCCUGUAGUC
rnacentral:rRNA from 1 species